rnacentral:rRNA from 1 species
UACGUAGGGACCGAGCGUUGUCCGGAAUCAUUGGGCGUAAAGAGCGUGUAGGCGGCUAUUUAAGUCCUGCGUGAAAUCCUGCGGCUCAACCGCAGACGGUCGUGGGAAACUGGAUGGCUAGAGUGCGGGAGAGGAGAGUGGAAUUCCCGGUGUAGCGGUGAAAUGCGCAGAUAUCGGGAGGAACACCGGUGGCGAAGGCGGAUCUCUGGGCCUUGCCUGACGCUGAGGCGCGAAAGCUAGGGGAGCGAACAGG